ACCGGGCUUGCCACUUUGCGUACAUAAGACAGGUGGGUAAUUAUAAAGCGGGUAAAGCGUAGCUAUCUCUAGAGUACAAGUUCAAGGAAGUAAAGUGCUGUCCCCUCUAGUCCAGGAAGAGGGUGGAGGGCCUGCCUCCCUGUCAUCUUCCGAGGGAAGGGUGUCAGAGGUUUGUGUCCCCAACACCAUCACUACUAUGUCUUUCUCAAGACCAGUGUCACCACCACAAUGAUAAAGCCGUUAGCUAAGGCUGUUACCAUCAUCCUCUUCCGUAAACCACCACCAUGCUUGUCGCGUCCCCGUGCCCGCCGUGCUUUACAGACGUUUCCCGCACUACCCGGUGCGGUUCUCAGUCCCUUGCUGGCCACUCGCACCUGCACCUUGGCCUCUCAGCAACGCCGGCGCGGCCUGUUCCCUGCCUCUGGUCCCUCGGGCUUACCUGGGUCUUGACGAGACUUGAGAGGAAGCCAAGGGUGACAAGCAGUUGCACCGCGGCCG
rnacentral:lncRNA from 1 species